rnacentral:rRNA from 1 species
AUGGAAUGCCACAGUGAACUGAGCAAGGCUCCACCUUUGGCUAUUUGCAAUGUCCAGUAUGAUGCAGAAUCAGCCAUCCACACUAGACCAUGUUCGGAAAAUGUAUUCACCACACCACAAAAAUUGUACAGUGCACCAUUCUGUGGCUCAUCUUGUACUCCAGAGUGUGAUGAUGACAUCAGGCCAGCUAUAGGGAUGACCUUUACAGAUUUGAACGCAGCCAAGGAUUUCUAUGAAGCUUAUGCACAUCAUGUUGGUUUUUCAGUACGUGUAGGACAACAUAAGACAACUAAUGGUGUGAUUACUCACAAGCGUUUCUACUAUGAUCGUGAAGGUUUCCGCCAGGAGCGGAAAGCUUUGGAAGAACAACGUUAUAAAGAGUUGCAAGAGGACCAUGUCAACCUACAUACGAUGCCUGUGUUGAAGACAUCUUGGGCGAUUGAAAAGCAUGGCAGUGAGGUUUUCAUGCAUGAGGUAUUUGAUGAUUUUCAACAUGAGUUACUUGCUUAUAGGGAUCAUUGCCUUGUUGAGAUGAUGGCACAUGAAGGUUCUUGCACAUGUAAGUUGUUUGAGACACAUGGUAUCCCGUGUCGUCAUCUGAUCCAUGUCCUAAGAACCGCCCGGGUAAAGGAACUGCCAAAACACUAUGUACUCAAAAGGUUUAGAAAAGAGUACAAAACAGAGCCAGUCUUUGAUGAAGAUGGCAUUCUGUUGGAAGCCAAUGAGAGCAGUUCAAUUGAUCCGGAGAUACAAAAACUAAUUUUAGAAACACGUGAGAAGAUGGAAGAACUUUUAGUACAAGCGAAGCAAUCUCAGGUCGGCUUACAAUUCUUCAGAGAUCAUAUUUUUGCACUUGGAGAGAAAUUGUCUACUCUAGUUCCAGCGAAAGAACAAACUCAAACAGAAGAAUAUGAGGAAUUUCUAUGUUGUUCCAUUCAAAGUGAGGUUGAUAUCCAUCCUCCAAAUGAUAUUCGUUCAAGGGGUAGAAUAAAAAGACUAAAGGGAUACAGGGAUAAGGGUGGAAAGAAAGGACAGAAAGAGAAGAUGAAGAAAAAGGAAGUGCAGAAGACAUAA